UACGUAGGGUGCAAGCGUUGUCCGGAAUUAUUGGGCGUAAAGAGCUCGUAGGCGGUCUGUCACGUCGGACGUGAAAAUCUAGGGCUCAACCCUGGACCUGCGUUCGAUACGGGCAGACUAGAGUUCGGUAGGGGAGACUGGAAUUCCUGGUGUAGCGGUGAAAUGCGUAGAUAUCAAGAGGAACACCUGCGGCGAAGGCGGGUUGCUGGGCCGACACUGACGCUGAGGCGCGAAAGCUAGGGGAGCGAACGGG
rnacentral:rRNA from 1 species